rnacentral:rRNA from 1 species
GACGAACGCUGGCGGCGUGCUUAACACAUGCAAGUCGAACGGAAAGGCCCUGCUUUUGUGGCGUGCUCGAGUGGCGAACGGGUGAGUAACCCGUGAGUAACCUGCCCUUGACUUUGGGAUAACUUCAGGAAACUGGGGCUAAUACCGGAUAGGAGCUCCUGCUGCAUGGUGGGGGUUGGAAAGUUUCGGCGGUUGGGGAUGGACUGGCGGCUUAUCAGCUUGUUGGUGGGGUAGUGUCUUACCAAGGCUUUGACGGGUAGCCGGCCUGAGAGGGUGACCGGCCACCUUGGGACUGAGAUACGGCCCAGACUCCUACGGGAGGCAGCAGUGGGGAAUAUUGCACAAUGGGCGGAGGCCUGAUGCAGCAACGCCGCGUGCGGGAUGAAGGCCUUCGGGUUGUAAACCGCUGUCGCCUGUGACGAAGAGUGAGUGACGGUAAUGGGUAAAGAAGCACCGGCUAACUACGUG